GUUUGAUCAUGGCUCAGGAUGAACGCUGGCGGCGUGCUUAACACAUGCAAGUCGAACGAAGCACUUUAUUUGAUUUCCUUCGGGACUGAUUAUUUUGUGACUGAGUGGCGGACGGGUGAGUAACGCGUGGGUAACCUGCCUUGUACAGGGGGAUAACAGUUGGAAACGGCUGCUAAUACCGCAUAAGCGCACGGCAUCGCAUGAUGCAGUGUGAAAAACUCCGGUGGUAUAAGAUGGACCCGCGUUGGAUUAGCUAGUUGGUGAGGUAACGGCCCACCAAGGCGACGAUCCAUAGCCGACCUGAGAGGGUGACCGGCCACAUUGGGACUGAGACACGGCCCAAACUCCUACGGGAGGCAGCAGUGGGGAAUAUUGCACAAUGGGCGAAAGCCUGAUGCAGCGACGCCGCGUGAGCGAAGAAGUAUUUCGGUAUGUAAAGCUCUAUCAGCAGGGAAGAUAAUGACGGUACCUGACUAAGAAGCACCGGCUAAAUACGUGCCAGCAGCCGCGGUAAUACGUAUGGUGCAAGCGUUAUCCGGAUUUACUGGGUGUAAAGGGAGCGCAGGCGGUGCGGCAAGUAUGAUGUGAAAGCCCGGGGCUCAACCCUGGUACUGCAUUGGAAACUGUCGUACUAG
rnacentral:rRNA from 1 species